CACAUACAGAUGAGUAAAAAUAUUGAGACUGUCUGCAUUCUACUGCUUGUUUGAUAAAAAAGACAGUAACCUAUUCAUUCUAAUGUAUAUGAGAAUGCCUGUUUUUUUACUGUUUCCAGCUUGGACUUACAGAUUUAAAACUUAUUUACUUUGAUGCUUUUCUUGAUUAUAUUAUGUUGCUCUUCUGGGUACUGAACAGAUGCUCUUGCUUGAUUUAUUUUACUGUUGGUUAACUCCCAGUUUGAGUAAUAUACUUGCUUUCUGCAGGUCACAUGCUUCAAUCUCGGUUCGUUAGGAAGUGAAGGGCCACAUUUUGUCUAUGCUACUUUGGCAAUUGAUCCUCAUCUUGAGGCUAUGUAGAAAGAGGUGAAGUAGCUCAUUGGUAUUGAUAAUUCAAGGGGUGGGGUCAUAUCAAUGGUCUCAUCGCCCUUGUGGGACGAGGUGCCCCACGAGAUGAUGAAGAUUGUAUCAGUUGUUGGAGGAGGAUUGUGCAAGACUACUCUUGCCAAAGUAGUGUAUGAUGAGCUUAAACCUCAACUCGAUUGUGGGGCCUUUGUUUUGGUUGGCCGAAAUCCUGGUUUGAAGAAAGUUUUUAUGGAUAUUCUUUUAGAUCUUCACCAGGGGCGACAAUAAACCUAUUGACGCUCGUUAA